rnacentral:tRNA from 1 species
GUGUGUAUAGCUCAGUGGUAGAGCAUAUGCUUAGCAUGCAUGAGGUCCUGGGUUCAGUCCCCAGUGGGUUCA